rnacentral:rRNA from 1 species
UACGUAGGUGACCAGCGUUGUCCGGAUUUACUGGGCGUAAAGAGCGCGCAGGCGGUCGUUCAAGUCGAGUGUGAAAGCCCCCGGCUCAACUGGGGAGGGGCAUUCGAUACUGAUCGACUCGAAGGCAGGAGAGGGAAGCGGAAUUCCCGGUGUAGUGGUGAAAUGCGUAGAUAUCGGGAGGAACACCAGUGGCGAAGGCGGCUUCCUGGCCUGUUCUUGACGCUGAGGCGCGAAAGCUAGGGGAGCAAACGGG